GAUGAACGCUGGCGGCGUGCCUAACACAUGCAAGUCGAACGGAGUCCAGCCUUUAAGACCUUCGGGUCAAAGAGGGGAAGACUGAGUGGCGGACGGGUGAGUAACACGUGGGCAACCUGGCUCAUAGAGGGGGAUAACAGAGAGAAAUUUCUGCUAAUACCGCAUAAGCACACACUGCCGCAUGGCAGAGGGUGAAAAGAGAAUCGCUAUGAGAUGGACCCGCGUCUGAUUAGCCAGUUGGCAGGGUAAGAGCCUACCAAAGCGACGAUCAGUAGCCGAUCUGAGAGGAUGAACGGCCACAUUGGGACUGAGACACGGCCCAAACUCCUACGGGAGGCAGCAGUGGGGGAUAUUGCACAAUGGGGGGAACCCUGAUGCAGCGACGCCGCGUGAGUGAAGAAGUAUUUCGGUAUGUAAAGCUCUAUCAGCAGGGAAGGUAAUGACAGUACCUGAAGAAGAAGCCCCGGCUAACUACGUG
rnacentral:rRNA from 1 species